rnacentral:lncRNA from 1 species
GUCCAGUUCAGGAUCUGCAUAGAUCACUUGUUGGUCAAAAGUUGUACUUAAGUUGCUCUAACUAGUUAGAUUUUACUCUUUACUUUUGGGUGUGUAUGCCUUAGAGACUCAAGGAGGCUUUUUUUUUUUUUUUUUUUUUUUUUUUUCACCUCUGUUUAGCCAAGGACUUGUAGCUUUCAGGUUUUGUCUCUGAUUACUCUUGGGAGGACUCAGCCUUGGACAUGCCCACAAUCUUCCACUUUUCCAGGUUCAGUUGGGAGAGAGUUCACCAGAGGCCUCACCAUCCUAUUUUAAUAUCCUUUUAUGUCACCUUGCUUUUUGGAGACUGUGUUCCAAGACAGAGAAGUUGCCGAUGGUGCAAGUUGCCUGGUAGGAAGAUGAGGUUCAAGAUCAGUGAGACAUUAAGGCCCUUCAGGAGGGUUAAAGAAAGAACAGCCAUAACCAUUACUUUCAUCUGUGACCUCUGACUAUAAUUCAGGUUGGUGAUCAUCUCCUUGGUCUUUUUUCUACAGUCACUUUGGUGCUCUGGGAGAUUGAUAUACUAUCAGAUGUUUGAGCUGAUAUGAGCAUCAGGUAACAUCUGUUCACUGUGAGGAGAC